GUUAGUUUAGCUGUUGUCAAGUUAAAAUCUAGAACACAAUGAAUCUUCUUAUAUUUAUUUUCAUAUUGGCUUUGAUUUCUACAAAUUUCGCUUAUCCAAGUAAUUAUGUUCAAACAAAGAAAUCUAGCAAGGUUAUAAAAGAAAAAUUACCCAAAAACUGUGGGAUAUUUAUAGGAAACCAAGGCACCAAUCAAACUGGAGGCAAAUCCAAAGUGAAAUUGAAAGAAGUGGGGAAGCGUAAACCUCGUUAACUAAUACUUAGUUGAUAUAAUAAUAAUUCCUUAAAAUUGAUUAGAAACUCCAUUUAUAACUUAUUUUAAAUAACACAUGUUAAAAUAAUUUCUCAAAAAUGUUUUAAUAUUUAUUUUAUGUAAA